rnacentral:lncRNA from 1 species
ACUCGGGCCACGCAGCUGGAACCUGGAAAUUAGGAUUGGAAUCCUGAACUCCUAAAUCCAAACUACAGACUGGAAGUUACCAAAAAAUGUCACAGUGGUUCCUUGAUCAGGUAGAAAGAUGACAGAGCCCAACAUACCAGAACCUAGAAAGGAGGCGAAGGAGGCGGUCUAGAGGGAAGAGCACUUUGGUCAAAGGAUCAGGUGCAUAAAUGCGGAGGAAUGAGGAUGCCCGGCUUGCUGGAGGAUCAAGGGAAGGUAAGAGGGGUAGGUGAAGUCAGGAAGGAAGCGGGUAAGGGAGUGGGGGUGGAUCUUGGGGGCUUCACAGGUUAUUUUCAAGACUGGCUUUUACUUUCAAGACUGGAAUAGAGGAAUUAACAGAAAAAGGGUCUCAUUCCAGACCCAAGAGCAGGUUCUUAGACGUCCACGGCAAAGAAUCAGGGCAAGUCGCAGAGCAUAGUAGUUAAAAUAGUUCAUUAGAAACUACUCCAUUUCUAAUAAUAGUACUACUGUGUUUCUGAGUAGUAUCCUUGCUUUGAAGUAGUACUAAGCAAGUAUUGUUUAUAUAGGAGCACCUCUGCCUUCAAUGUAAUGCUUGCUUUUAUAGGGCUAAAACUAGCGUACUUCAUUACAAAAGCCUAUGAUCAGCUUGUUACAGACUAUUAGUAUUGUUAUUCUCUUGUGUAACUAUUGACUUCAGGGAGAAUUUAUGGGUGUACUGUUAUCUUUAAAGUGAAACUCAUUUUUAAACUAAGAAUGCCUUUUUCCAUUAUCUCAUUUCCUCAACCAUAAACAUCUUGUGAAGAGUGCCUAUCUUCCUGGGAAAGUCGCCCAGCAGGUUUGGCUUUAUCUGACCUUUAUUCAAGAUGGAAUCACUCUGGUUAGGACACUUCUGACAUAAUUCCCUCCUCCUUUUUACAAGGAGACCUUUAAUCCUAAGGGGUGCAGGGGGACAGAGAUCCAUCUUCAGUAACUUCAAGCUGAACAGAAGCGAUGAUAUUCCUGCCUAACCAUUAGGAUCCCUUUGCCCAAAGUAGAGAGCUAGCCAGUCAGAAAGCAUCUGUAUAGUGAGGACCAAUCAUACAUAAUUCUAAGUCCCAGAAAAAGGUGAAAUCUAGAAAAUUAACGUGUUAAAUUUAAAGAAGCAUUGAAUAAGCUUAACUCUUAUUCCUACAUAAAAAGUACAAUGCAGUAUAUUCCACAGCACAAAACAGAAUGAAUAGAAUUAUCCCAAGCAUGCUAAACAAAAAAAGUUUCCCAAGGACUAGGCAGUUGUUAGAACCAAGCUGAUAUGGGGUCAACUGACAGCGUGUCAAUGGCAGAGAUGUGGGUGUCUAAGUCUUUUGUGGCCUGAGUAACAUUAUGUGAAUAGUCUGGAAUGUAUGCAUAACAUUCUGUUUUGAUUAUAGCAUAAGUUCCCCCUUUGAGCUGCUGUUAACAUGUCCAGAGCCAUAGUUUCAUAAGGCUAUCUGUCUAAUUUGAGAUGUUUCUUCAGUCAAGAGGGUAAGGGCAUGGCGUGUAUUAUUGAAAACUGCAGCUGUGUUUAGCUAUGGCUUUGGCUUGAAGCUCAAUGUCAAUUGUGGCUGCCUGUGGGGAGAAGACAGUGUCAGGCCUCUGAGCUGAAGCUCAGCCAUUGUAACCCUUGUGACCUGCACCUAUAAGUCCAGAUGGCCUGCAGGAGCCAAGAAGUCUGGAGCAGCCAAAAAAACACAAAAGAAGUGCAACAAAAG